AACGUAGGGGGCGAGCGUUGCCCGGAUUCACUGGGCGUAAAGCGCGUGUAGGCGUUCCGUUAAGUCGGAUGUGAAAUCUCUGGGCUCAACCCAGAAAUCGCAUCCGAUACUGGCGGACUUGAGGAUGGUAGAGGUUGGUGGAAUUCCCGGUGUACCGGUGAAAUGGACAGAUAUCGGGAGGAACACCAGUGGCGAAGGCGGCCAACUGGGCCAUUCCUGACGCUGAGACGCGAAAGCCAGGGGAGCGAACCGG
rnacentral:rRNA from 1 species